GACGAACGCUGGCGGCGUGCUUAACACAUGCAAGUCGAACGGAAACGCCCUGCUUUUGUGGGGUGCUCGAGUGGCGAACGGGUGAGUAACACGUGAGUAACCUGCCCUUGACUUUGGGUUAACUUCAGGAAACUGGGGCUAAUACCGGAUAGGAGCUCCUGCUGCAUGGUGGGGGUUGGAAAGUUUCGGCGGUUGGGGAUGGACGCGCGGCUUAUGAGCUUGUUGGUGGGGUAGUGGCUGACCAAGGCUUUGACGGGUAGCCGGCCUGAGAGGGUGACCGGCCACAUUGGGACUGAGAUACGGCGCAGACUCCUACGGGAGGCAGCAGGGGGGAAUAUUGCACAAUGGGCGGAAGUCUGAUGCAGCAACGCCGCGUGCGGGAUGACGGCCUUCGGGUUGUAAACCGCUUUCGCCUGAGACGAAGCGUGAGUGACGGUAAUGUGUAAAGAAGCACCGGCUAACUACGUG
rnacentral:rRNA from 1 species